GACGAAGGAUGCAAGCGUUAUCCGGAUUCAUUGGGUUUAAAGGGAGCGUAGGUGGUCUUAUAAGUCAGUGGUGAAAUCUCUGGGCUUAACCCAGAAAUUGCCAUUGAUACUGUAGGACUUGAGUAUAGUUGCCGUUGGCGGAAUAUGACAUGUAGUGGUGAAAUACAUAGAGAUGUCAUAGAACACCGAUUGCGAAGGCAGCUAACGAAACUAUAACUGACACUGAGGCUCGAAAGUGCGGGGAUCAAACAGG
rnacentral:rRNA from 1 species